rnacentral:rRNA from 1 species
CCCAGUUCGGAUUGUAGUCUGCAACCCGACUACAUGAAGCUGGAAUCGCUAGUAAUCGCGGAUCAGAAUGCCGCGGUGAAUACGUUCCCGGGUCUUGUACACACCGCCCGUCACACCAUGGGAGUCGGAAAUGCCCGAAGUCUGUGACCCAACCUGAGAGGGAGGGAGCUGCCGAAGGCAGGCCCGGUGACUGGGGUGAAGUCGUAACAAGGUAAC